UACUGCAAGACGUGCACACUUAUUGUGAAAGAAAUAAAGGCAAAACAAAAACAUUUGUUCACUUAGAAUUCAACGAGUAUAUAUAUGGACGAUAAUCAGAAUUCAGAGAACAUCUUCCCUUAGCUCUAAGAAGGACUAUCAUUCUAAAUAGAUAUUAAAGAUGAAAUUAGCUUUAUUUCUCUUGGCUCUGUCCAUUUUGGCUGUGAAUGAUGCAGUUGGAAAGACGAAGAAGUGCUAUUUCAAUCGAAGAUCCUAUAAUUCUGGUGCUUUGGUUAGGUCUUUUUAUCAAUGUUGUAUCCAAAUGAAAUGUGGGUCGAACGGAAAAGUUUAUUAUAACAGGUAUGGAACUAGAUGCAAUUGCUGUCGCGAUCCGUAUUACUCGCUAUCAUUGAUCCAGAGUGGACAGUAUGGAAGACCAAGACGAUGUAUGAGAUAUUUCUGUCAUGAAGGGAGACUCAUUUGGACUUUCAAUUGGCAGUCAAGAAACGCUGGAGAAUGUUCGACCCGAAGAAUCGAUUCAAGCAGAGAAAAUUUGUUAAAUUAAAACUUUGCUCAAUGUUAAAACAAUACAAAUAUUUUGUGUAAAUGGAAAUAAAUCAUUAUUUUUAUUGGA
rnacentral:lncRNA from 1 species